rnacentral:rRNA from 1 species
AUACGGAGGGUGCAAGCGUUACUCGGAAUCACUGGGCGUAAAGCGCGCGCAGGCGGUCUUUUAAGUUGGAUGUGAAAGCCUACGGCUCAACCGUAGAACUGCAUCCAAAACUAUUAGACUAGAGUGUGGGAGAGGAAGAUGGAAUUAGUUGUGUAGGGGUAAAAUCCGUAGAGAUAACUAGGAAUACCAAAAGCGAAGGCGAUCUUCUGGAACAGUACUGACGCUGAGGCGCGAAAGCGUGGGGAGCAAACAGGAUUAGAAACCCUUGUAGUCC